UACGUAGGGUGCAAGCGUUGUCCGGAUUCACUGGGUGUAAAGGGAGCGCAGGCGGGUCUCCAAGUCAUUGGUGAAAUUCUCAGGCUCAACCUGGGGACUGCCACUGAUACUGGGGAUCUUGAGUGCAGAAGAGGAAGACGGAAUUCCUGGUGUAGCGGUGAAAUGCGUAGAUAUCAGGAAGAACACCGGUGGCGAAGGCGGUCUUCUGGUCUGUAACUGACGCUCAUGCUCGAAAGCGUGGGGAGCAAACAGG
rnacentral:rRNA from 1 species